UUUUUAAUACAGCAUCGUCUGAGGGCCUAAAGAUCAUAAGCCUCCAACUGUGAUCUUUGGUCCCUUGUGCACAGAGCUUUGUCAGAUUACUGGAAUCUUUAGUGAACUUCUGUCCAUCUUUACUUCUGAGAAGCUUUGCAACUUCUCUGAGGAGGAAACCACUAAAAAAUGCCGCUAGUCAGUCCUUCUUCCUGACGGUAUGUUUCUUGUCACACAUGCGAACGCAGCUAAGAUCUUAUAGCAUCAUCAAUCAGCAUGAUGGAGGGAACGUAUCUGCUGUGGCUGCUCUUUCUGAACUCAUUGCUGACUUGUUCAACAAA